UACGUAGGGUGCGAGCGUUAAUCGGAAUUACUGGGCGUAAAGCGUGCGCAGGCGGUGAUGUAAGACAGAUGUGAAAUCCCCGGGCUCAACCUGGGAACUGCAUUUGUGACUGCAUCGCUGGAGUGCGGCAGAGGGGGAUGGAAUUCCGCGUGUAGCAGUGAAAUGCGUAGAUAUGCGGAGGAACACCGAUGGCGAAGGCAAUCCC
rnacentral:rRNA from 1 species